GAUCAUGGCUCAGGACGAACGCUGGCGGCGUGCUUAACACAUGCAAGUCGAACGAGAAUCUGCGGAUCGAGGAUUCGUCCAAGUGAAGUAGAGGACAGUGGCGGACGGGUGAGUAACGCGUGAGGAACCUGCCUUUCAGAGGGGGACAACAGUUGGAAACGACUGCUAAUACCGCAUGACACAUUGGGGUCGCAUGGCCCUGAUGUCAAAGAUUUAUCG
rnacentral:rRNA from 1 species